AGGACGAACGCUGGCGGCGUGCUUAACACAUGCAAGUCGAGCGGUAAGGCCCUUUCGGGGGUACACGAGCGGCGAACGGGUGAGUAACACGUGGGUGACCUGCCCUUAGCUCUGGGAUAAGCCUGGGAAACUGGGUCUAAUACCGGAUAUGACCUCGCGAUGCAUGUCGUGGGGUGGAAAGCCUUGUGCGGCUAGGGGAUGGGCCCGCGGCCUAUCAGCUUGUUGGUGGGGUGAUGGCCUACCAAGGCGACGACGGGUAGCCGGCCUGAGAGGGCGACCGGCCACACUGGGACUGAGACACGGCCCAGACUCCUACGGGAGGCAGCAGUGGGGAAUCUUGCGCAAUGGGCGAAAGCCUGACGCAGCGACGCCGCGUGAGGGAUGACGGCCUUCGGGUUGUAAACCGUCUUUCAGCCCUGACGAAGCGAAAGUGACGGUAGGGCAGAAGAGCACCGGCCAACUACGCGCCAGCAGCCGCGGUAA
rnacentral:rRNA from 1 species